AGCAGGAAGUGGCCGAGUGGUUAUGGCGCCACGUUUAGGUCUCACAUUCUUGAAGCCCGUGGUUCGAAAGAGCGUGGGUUCGAAUCCCAUCUUCGUCA
rnacentral:tRNA from 1 species